rnacentral:rRNA from 1 species
GACGAACGCUGGCGGCGUGCCUAAUACAUGCAAGUAGAACGCUGAAGGAGGAGCUUGCUUCUCUGGAUGAGUUGCGAACGGGUGAGUAACGCGUAGGUAACCUGCCUGGUAGCGGGGGAUAACUAUUGGAAACGAUAGCUAAUACCGCAUAAUAGUAGAUGUUGCAUGACAUUUACUUAAAAGGUGCAAUUGCAUCACUACCAGAUGGACCUGCGUUGUAUUAGCUAGUUGGUGGGGUAACGGCUCACCAAGGCGACGAUACAUAGCCGACCUGAGAGGGUGAUCGGCCACACUGGGACUGAGACACGGCCCAGACUCCUACGGGAGGCAGCAGUAGGGAAUCUUCGGCAAUAGACGAAAGUCUGACCGAGCAACGCCGCGUGAGUGAAGAAGGGUUUCGGAUCGUAAAGCUCGGUUGUAAGAGAAGAACGAGUGUGAGAGUGGAAAGUUCACACUGUGACGGUAGCUUACCAGAAAGGGACGGCUAACUACGUG